UGUAUUCACUACUGUAAGUCGCUCUGGAUAAGAGCAUCUGCUAAAUGACUCAAA
rfam:Salmo salar isolate Sally breed double haploid chromosome ssa20, whole genome shotgun sequence.